UACGUAGGGUGCGAGCGUUAAUCGGAAUUACUGGGCGUAAAGCGUGCGCAGGCGGUUCGUUGUGUCGGCGGUGAAAGCCCCGGGCUCAACCUGGGAAUGGCCGUUGAAACUGGCGAACUGGAGUGUGGCAGAGGGGGGUGGAAUUCCGCGUGUAGCAGUGAAAUGCGUAGAGAUGCGGAGGAACACGGAUGGCGAAGGCAGCCCCCUGGGCUGACACUGACGCUCAGGCACGAAAGCGUGGGGAGCAAACAGG
rnacentral:rRNA from 1 species